rnacentral:rRNA from 1 species
ACUAGGAUUAGAUACCCUAUUAUAUUUAAAUAAUUUUAGGUAGUAUUAAAUUUCUAAAGAAACCUAUGCAGUUUGGCGGCAUUUAAUCAUUUUAGAGGAACCUGUCUUUUAAUCGAUAACCCACGAUAAUUCUUACUUUUAUUAAUAUCUUAUAUACCUCCAUCUUAAGGAUUAAUAUUUACAUUUUCCCCUAAAUAGAUAUCUAAAAAGUUAGGUAAAGGUGUAGACUACGUAGAAGAUAAGAUGGGUUACUAUAAACUUUAUUUAAGGAAUUAUGUAUAAAUUCAUUAAAGAAAAAGGAUUUAUUAGUAAUAAAAGAAUAAUAAUCUUCCAUGAAAUUGAUAAACAAUGUGCACACAUCGC